rnacentral:rRNA from 1 species
UACAGAGACUGCAAGCGUUAUUCGGAUUCACUGGGCGUAAAGGGUGCGCAGGCGCCAUGUGUGUCAGGUGUGAAAGCCCGAGGCUUAACCUCGGAAUUGCGCCUGAAACUACAUGGCUAGAGUACUGGAGAGGGUAGCGGAAUUCAUGGUGUAGCAGUGAAAUGCGUAGAUAUCAUGAGGAACACCAGAGGCGAAGGCGGCUACCUGGACAGUUACUGACGCUCAGGCACGAAAGCGUGGGGAGCAAAAGGG